AGCAGCGCCGGUUCGUUAUCUAACUGAGUCUUGGUCAUUAAGCAAAGUCAGGGUCUUUGUUACUUGGUUUCAUCCCCACUGGCCUUGCAGAGAAAGCCCAAGCCACAGGGUACGUCUCCGCCUGCCAAUGCCCUGUAUUCCUGAAACAAAAAGGCAAUAAAAAACACGACAGUUAGUGUCAGACGCGGAGCCCCGGUUUGGGAGUGGGCGGGGAGGGCUCCCUUUUCUCCUUGUUCCGCAGCACCUGUCACGGAGACGGGAGAUGGGGCCCGGCCCGGCCUGGGCAGCGCGGCUUCCUCCUGCCCCCGCCGCGCUCCCUCCCGAGCGGCUCGGGUCCGGGCUCCCAGCAACGCGGCGGUGCGGCCGGCGCUGCGACUAGAAAGCGCCCAUUGAGGGCUUGCAGCUGCCAGUGCCGCUUGCCCAAAUCCGACAUAAAGCCUGGACUUCAGCUCCAGUGAAGAAGACACUACUGUGUUCUUCCUGAGCCCCAGUCACGGCUAUAAAACAUUAAAAGCAAACUGGCGAUUGUUAAACACUGCAUUUGUUUACACCCCGAUUCUUGAAUCACAAUGGGGCAGCUUAGGCCGCCAAGGCCCGGCGAGGCCCGGCUUUCUCCUGGACACUGGAGUCUGUUCUCCGACCCAAGGGACACAAGAAAAAAUUUUACUAUUGUUGCCCAGGCUGGAGUACAGUGACAUGAUCUUGGCUCACUGCAACCUCUGCCUCCCAGUUCAAGCAAAUCUCCUGCCUCAACCUCGCAAGUAG
rnacentral:lncRNA from 13 species